rnacentral:rRNA from 1 species
CGGACUGCAGUCUGCAACUCGACUGCACGAAGUCGGAAUUGCUAGUAAUCGCGGAUCAGCAUGCCGCGGUGAAUACGUUCCCGGGUCUUGUACACACCGCCCGUCACACCAUGAGAGCCGGAAACACCCGAAGUCCGUAGCCUAACCGCAAGGGGGCGCGGCCGAAGGUGGGUUUGGUAAUUGGGGUGAAGUCGUAACAAGGUACC